GAACAACGCUGGCGGCGUGCCUAAUGCAUGCAAGUCGAACGGGAGCCGCUUCGGCGGCCGACCGUGGCGGACGGGUGAGGAGCACGUGGGUAACCUGCCCCGACGCGGGGGAUAACUGCG
rnacentral:rRNA from 1 species